rnacentral:rRNA from 1 species
AGAGUUUGAUCCUGGCUCAGAUUGAACGCUGGCGGUAUGCUUAACACAUGCAAGUCGAACGGCAGCAUGGCCUGUAGCAAUACAGGUUGAUGGCGAGUGGCGGACGGGUGAGUAACGCGUAGGGAUCUGCCCUGUAGUGGGGGAUAACC